GACGAACCGGACAAACGUUAUUCGGAAUUACUGGGCUUAAAGGGUUUGUAGGCGGCCUUGUAAGUCAGGUGUGAAAUCCCUCGGCUCAACCGAGGAAUAGCGCUUGAUACUGCAAGGCUUGAGGGAGACAGGGGUAAGCGGAACUGAUGGUGGAGCGGUGAAAUGCGUUGAUAUCAUUAGGAACACCGGUGGCGAAAGCGGCUUACUGGGUCUCUUCUGACGCUGAGGAACGAAAGCUAGGGGAGCGAACGGG
rnacentral:rRNA from 1 species